GGAGGGGGGAAAUCACGGCCGAGGGAACCCGGGUGAAAGGAAAAGGGAGAGCAGGGAAAGGAGAGGAAGGAAAAAAAAAGAGGGGCUUCGGGAAUUUCCGGCGAACAUCGUCAGGGGCCCGAGCGUGGGCUCGGCGGGUGGGCGGGGCCUGGCGGGAGGGGCGGGGCCGCGCCCGACGGCCGGACGCGCGGAGAGCCGGCGGGCGGCGGCGUGACGGCGCGGCUGUGUUUCGUGUCCUCCGCCGGGGCAGCUCCAACCUUUGGAAGGAGCAGGAAGGUUCACGCCGGCUGGGGCCGACCUUUCCGGCAGCAAGCACCGUCCUCCGCGCGCUCGAGCUGUUUGUUACCGAUCUCGCCCGCAGAAACGGGUGGCUAGGGCACGGGGCCGCCACUGGCACCUAGAGCGGGCUCCAUAGUAGUUGUUGAAUGAACAGAGAGCUCGUGGCAACAGUCCCGGAGGCGAGUGGGGGCAAGCCUCGGAACUCCCGGGGUACGGGUCUUCUCGUCUGUAAGAUGAGAUUCCAUAUCACAGCUCCUCUCUCUUUACCCAGCAAAGCGUUGAGGAGGAGGAAGGUGAUGGGGGCUGGGAACAGUGGAGAAACCCAGAAUGGGGGACACCCAGCCUUAUGGAAGUUCUGUGUCAAACCGGAACCGAGUAAAAACGUUCCUGACGUGACUACAAGAGGAGGGAGCAGGAGGGAUGGAUGUCAGAGGUGAAAGGAGCCAAUGCUGGGGAAAACAGGAGAGACAGAAAAAGAUGGGCUUUUGUGUUUUUUGUUUUUUUUUUUAAUGGACGAUGAAACCACUGUAGUGCAUACUGGAAAGGAACAAUUAGAUAAAUGAAAGGCGGAUGGUGGACAGCAGGUUGAUCACCGUGGGGUGGGGGGGUUACCGGUAAACAAGAGGAGGAGGCUGGAAUGAGCCCUGCGGUACUGGGUUAUAGUUGGAGACAUCUCUGCUCCCUCUAUGAACCCAUGAUGAGCUUGGUAUAGACUGACAUGGAGAGAGAAAAAGACGUACAGAUAUCUGUAUAUAUGUGGGUUAGUACACAUACAUGUAAUUUCCUUGCUGUGUCAGCUGAGUGGACUUCGAAAUAACCUCCAGGAACAAGGACUAUGCCUCUGGCACUGAGCUCUUGUUUUUAACAACAUUCUCCAGUGAAAGGAGGUCUCCUUGGGGAAAUGGACUGCAGCAGAGAAUCUACAAGCUGCGCCUGGAGCAUCUUGUUCUGCCAGAAGCCCCAGGCAUGCUGGCCUUCGAGCACAUGCUGCAUUAUAUUAUUUACAUCACUCAUGUUAAUGUCUUGCCUGUGAGAUGAAGAGCUCCUUUGCAGCCAACGUGCAAGCAUCAGCAUGUCUCCCAUGUGCCUAGAACUGAGGCGCAAAGGUGUGAAGCAAAGACAUGGAGAAAGCCAGCUGGGCAGACCCUGCAAGUUAUCUACUCACCAUCUUUUCUCCUUACCAGAACCCAUCGGGCUUGCUGAAAAACCCCACUUCCCAGCUUCGGUGGUUUUGUGACACGGUGCUGGCCGAUGAGGUAUUAGUGCAGAGGACUGGGCUGGGCUCACAAGAAGGAGCUUAGAUCCAGCGUGUGCACACCCUUAGGGCCUCGUCCUCUCUGGAACACAGACGAGAUGCUAGAGGUGAAGAGGCCACCAUGUGACUCUGAGAGGGUGAACAUGAGGACAGAAGCACAUGGAACAGAUGAGUUGGGGAGCUGCCCACAUCCAGACUCCUUGUUACACAAAAACACACGAGAAAAAGAAGACUCUGAGUUAGUUAAGUUGAAUGUUCAGUUUCGUGCCUCCGAACCAGCGCCUAAAAGAUAGACCAGCCACAGCUCGUCUAAGAGAGCUAAGUGCUUCUCACAAUUUUCCACCAAAGAAACUGGAGAUGGAGGAGGGUGAAGAGGAUGGUGCAAGUUACAUCCUGGAGAAUCUUGUGCAGAGCCCAAGCAGCCCCGUAAGACUAACAUGUCCUUGAAAUCGCUGGCUUUUUCUUAGAAAUGCAUUAACAAGUUCCUAUCAAAUGGAAGAUGAAAGCAAAUGCAAACAAGGAUGGCCACGAGAAACCUGGAGAACAAGGCUCCCCUGAGGGUUGAGACGAGCUGGCAGCACAGGCACCCAGGGCAUCUCCCUUAGAGUUCUAUCUAAAGACACAUUCUGAGAACUUCCCAUCCGAAGUAAGUACUUCAGGGGCAGUCUGUCUGAUUAUGUCACAAGUAAUGAUGGAAAUGAAGGACUUUCAAGAAACGCGAAUCCCUGUCGGCUGCGGUGUAGUCGAGGCCCCCUCGGCGAUCUUGGCGCAGACCUAGGAGGACUUCUUGCUUCUGAUGUAGGGUGUUGCAUGGGGCCUACAGGGCGUCCUGCUUUCCAGAAAGUCAACCUAAGAGCAGAAAGAUGCUGCUUCCAGGCUAGGCUUCCAAUUAAAAUUGAGCCAGUGCUUCCCUCAUAUUUCUACGUGUGUUGGCUUCUGGGUGAUGUCCCUAUGGGUGCUGCCUUUUAAUGUGAACCCCUGCACAUCAAGAACCAGCUCGGUGCCCCCACGCUCAAGCACGCCUUCAUUCAACUGCUUUCUUGGCAUCUGCUGUGUUGUGUUGCGUGCAACCUGCGUAGAGUGUGAAAGAGAGAAGAUCAUCUCCCACACUCAUUCAUUCGUUCAUCUGAUGUGAAUGCUGUGCGUAACGUGAAUGGGAUGCAAGGGGGAGAAAAGAUUAUUCAAGGAUCCCGAUUUGAAUGAGGAACCUUCCCCUCCCAGCCCUGAGUGAACAUAAAGCGUCAGGCUGGGCCCAUGCGGCGUGAGGUCAUUCCCAGCUUUAGUCCUGGCGAGCGCUCCCUGGACCCCGGCCGUGCCAACCCCCGGGCCUGCCCUCUGCCCCAGUGGCCUGCUUCAGGGCCUGUAGCACCUGUCGCGGAGGGUUUCUGAGGAGCUGCAGAAACCGUGACGAAAAGGCUGCAGACGGCAGCUUGGAGUUGGAUUUUCUUUCUGAUGCUCCUGCGCGACCUGUUUGUCUCUCCCGCGCCCUCGUCCUCUCCCUGCAGAGUGGCUCUGCGUGUGGACGGCAAGUGUCCGCCAGAGGCGUGACGUGUCGGGCCGUGGGAGCGACACCUAGUUUCGAACGGUGCAUGUACCUUGUUCUCCUUGCUCUGCGCCUUACGGUGCAGGCCAGGGGGUGGAUAAGAGCCGCCGGGACUCUGCAGCCGCUCGUCCAGCCCGGGGAGGGCCUGCAGGUGGCUGCCGGGAAGCUUCCCCGCCACUUGCUCGGUUUGCCGGGAACUCUGGAUGGAGAGCGUGGGACACGGGGUAAAUGCCAGCGCUGGGAGGGAGAAGCCACAGAGAGCUAAUGGCCCAUUGUCCAUGCCUGUCGUGUGGUCUCCUCGGGGGCCAGGCCCUCUCCAGACAGAGCCCCGGCUCUUGGCAACGGUCCCUCAGCUGCUCCAUCCGCCACUGGCAGCCACUCCUGGGGACAAGGCGCUUCUGUGUCCCUCCCCACUAGGACGCUGCCACGGCCAAGAGACUGACCCCGGAAUCAGCAGCGGCUUUCAACUUGAGCCUUUUGUAACUGAACAAUGGUUAACUCUGGCUCUCAGAGGACCUCCUUUCACAGUGGGAUUUCCUUCCUUGUGGGUUUUCCCAGCUGUCUUUGUCUUGGGUCAUGUCUAACAGAUGUCUGUGGCCUUGAAGAGCCUUCUGAAAACCCAGUGACAACUAGACCUGGGGCCCUUCCGGGGUCAGCUGAGGCCUUGGCAGGAGCAGCCCUGGCAAAUCGCAGGGAAAGAUGCCUCUCUCCCCGGCCCUGUCCUCUGGGAGCAGCAGAGAACGUUCAGGGAGACUGAAGAGGUAGAUUCUGGGGCAGUCAGAUGGAGAUAAAAAUCAAAUUCCAAGAAUUCCUCUUCCAGGGGCCUCCUGUAAAUUUAUUAAGAGCUCCUCGAGCAUGUGAAAUAUGA